rnacentral:lncRNA from 1 species
ACUCCCAUGUUUUAAGGUCGAAUGGGCAGCGAAGAUGAGGUUUAAAUGAAGGACUGCACACUUGACAAGGCUUUGGCAUGGAUAAAGCAGCCACUGGUGAUUCAUUCUAACCACUGAGACCCUUCCACAAAGAAGGUAUGCUGAAGUACAUGAUCAUAUACUGAACUCCACCUUCAUUUUUACUUCUCUUGUCAAGAUUAAACUAAACAGAAACAUGCAGGAUUUAAUGGUGUUUCCAUGACUGUGUGCUAGAUUGAAAAAACAUAAAUUAAAAUUAAAAUAAAUUUACAUUACAUUAAAUGACGUACAUGAUGCUCAUAGGUGGAUUCGAACAUGACGGCUCGAGAGAGACUAAUACUAUACAUGCAUAGUUGUUAUCUGGUGUACAUACAUACACUCUAACCUCUGCACAAGUAUAUACAGGUAUAUGUCGCGACAAAAAAAAUUGCCUUUUAUUAGCAACAUAAAGCUUAAAAAGAAACCAUCUGAAGUGCUGAAAUGAGCAAUAGUUAGCUGUUGGUGACCUGAUAUGAUCAAUCCUUUCCUUUGUUGAUGUUCAUGUACAGGUUUUACUUUAGAAUUAAAAGACUCAAAAUCAAUUAUUAGCACUGCAUUGAUAGUAUAUCUUACUUUCAGCUUCAUUUCCUUGUAGCAGAAAAAACUUCACUUCCUAUCCCUAACUACCAGACUCAUCUCUAUAACAAUCAGGGAGUCAGCUGCAAUGUUUGGCUAUCAGCAGGUCAACUUUCCUAGCUUUUAGUCAACUUCAAAAAUAUAAUGUGACAUGAACAGCCAAGGAAUCAGAUUCCAUGUUUUGCUAUCAGCAGGUCUACUUUCCAAGCUCAUUUGUGUCAAUUUCUACCUUUUUUUUGUAGGUCAAAUAUAAUAUGCUAUGGAGAAAACUAGAAGCAUUUCAUUUCCCACUAAGCAUGUCAUCAACAAGAUUACUUUUCCCCUUGAUAUUUCCUAUUUGCAUGGAAUUAAUGACUUUGCUAAAACAUCAUGAUGUAUUUGAUAUCUUGAGACUUUACUGAGCCUUACAACAUGCUAAACCUUGUCAAAUGUCCAAAUCAAAUUCAUGAUAUAUUUGAUGACACAAAACAAGUUGAUAUGACUCAUAUUUAGAAUGUUACUGAUCAUAGUUGUAGCCUUUUCAUGGUCCUAGCAAUAGUGUUGUUAAGGCCUUUUUAUUACUCUGAGAAAUAUUGUCCAACAUUCUUGGAGCACUAAUAAACUGAUUUUUCUCAACAUUUAGGAUUCUGAAACCUAAAAUAAGAAGAAAAAAAACAUAUAUUCUGAAUCCUUCAGCAAUCUGUUGAUGGCAUCAAGUUUGCCCCAGUUUUCUCAACAUCAGAAGUUUCCUGCUGGAAGACCCAAUCAAUAACUAGUACUAUCUGAGAAAUUGCUGAUCCAAUAUAUAUGAUGCUUCAAUCAGAUAACAAUGGCAUGCUUAAGCUAUUGUGUGGAUACUGAGUUUGGAAGAGCCAAUAGAAUCAUAUGAAACUUUGGGUGUUACUACAAUUUCAGAAAGCAUUUGAGGUAGUGAAAGACCUAAUUUAUUUGACAAGUCUUUUACUCCCUCAUCCUGAAAACACAUUUGAAACUGGUUAUUGAAUUUAGCUUCUUCAUCAACAUGAAGAGAGAAUAAAAUUUUCAUCAACUCUUGUUUUUGGCAAGGAAAAGAAUAAAUAAAUUCUCAUUAUAUCAGAUAUUUCAUUACUUUGACCCUACUGAAGCACACAUAUAUUACAAGGGAAGAAAAAUGAUACAGUGGUGAGGAUUUGGAAGCCAUCGGCAGCUUCUCAAUUUCCACAAAGUGAUCUAUUUCUCCUUUGCUCGAACUAAACGCUGUAGUGAUCGAGACCUCGGCAACACGGAUGACAACCUAGGUAAUGAUCUCAUCUGGCAUGGCAGCAAACCUUGCUCGUCUCUGUGAAUGAGAAAAGGGUUAGUUCAGUGAGCAAGUAAUCGGCAGGCACUGCACAAAAGGUAAGAAGAUGUUUCAGGAAGCAAUAUAAUCGAUCUUGGGUACUUCUCUCACCAGAUUUUACUUUGACUCGGCUACUUAGUGUCUAGAUUGUUAUCUAGAAAAGGAGGUCAUUAAUGGGAGUCGAAAACCAUCUUGUCUUGCAUCGCAUUCAUCGACUUGACAUGAAGAACAGAGUGGUUUUGGGCAAGAAAACAAGAAGGUGAGAGCGGAUAUUGGUGAACCGGCAAAGGUUUGACUUGUUGGUUCUUGGUCAAGUGGGUGUGUCAUUCUCCAUCUUUUUUUAAUGCAGCUGACAGAGAUGAAUUAGAUUUCAUAUUUGUUCUCUUACUAUGAACUCCUUGAAGGUUGUCUCAUGCAUUCACAUCCUAUUAAUUCCUUCCACCGAUCUUAUAGCAGAAGUCAAAGAUUAGCAUUCGGCAGCACGUACCUCCUUCCGUCCGGUUCCCACAGCCGGUGUCCGCA